rnacentral:rRNA from 1 species
AACGAACGCUGGCGGCAGGCCUAACACAUGCAAGUCGAGCGCGCCCUUCGGGGUGAGCGGCGGACGGGUGAGUAACGCGUGGGAACGUGCCCUUCUCUGCGGAAUAGCCUCGGGAAACUGAGAGUAAUACCGCAUACGCCCUUUGGGGGAAAGAUUUAUCGGAGAAGGAUCGGCCCGCGUUGGAUUAGGUAGUUGGUGGGGUAAUGGCCCACCAAGCCAACGAUCCAUAGCUGGUUUGAGAGGAUGAUCAGCCACACUGGGACUGAGACACGGCCCAGCCUCCUACGGGAGGCAGCAGUGGGGAAUCUUAGACAAUGGGGGCAACCCUGAUCUAGCCAUGCCGCGUGAGUGAUGAAGGCCUUAGGGUUGUAAAGCUCUUUCAGCUGGGAAGAUAAUGACGGUACCAGCAGAAGAAGCCCCGGCUAACUCCGUG